AGUGAACGCUGGCGGCAGGCCUAACACAUGCAAGUCGAACGGCAGCACAGUAAGAGCUCGCUCUUACGGGUGGCGACUGGCGGAUGGGUGAGAAAUACAUCGGAUUCUACUUUUUCGUGGGGGAUAACGUAGGGAAACUUACGCUAAUACCGCAUACGACCUACGGGUGAAAUCAGGGGAUCUUCGGACCUUGGGUGAUUCAAUUAGCCGAUGUCGGAUUAGCUAGUUGGCGGGGUAAAGGCCCACCAAGGCGACGAUCCGUAGCUGGUCUGAGAGGAUGAUCAGCCACACUGGAACUGAGACACGGUCCAGACUCCUACGGGAGGCAGCAGUGGGGAAUAUUGGACAAUGGGCGCAAGCCUGAUCCAGCCAUGCCGCGUGGGUGAAGAAGGCCUUCGGAUUGUAAAGCCCUUUUAUUGGGGAAGAAAAGCAGCAGGUUAAUACCCCGCUGUUCUGACGGUACCCAAAGAAUAAGCACCGGCUAACUUCGUG
rnacentral:rRNA from 1 species